CCUACGGGAGGCAGCAGUGGGGAAUAUUGGACAAUGGGGGCAACCCUGAUCCAGCCAUGCCGCGUGUGUGAAGAAGGCCCUCGGGUUGUAAAGCACUUUCAGUGAGGAAGAACGCCUGGUGGUUAAUACCCAUCAGGAAAGACAUCACUCACAGAAGAAGCACCGGCUAACUCCGUGCCAGCAGCCGCGGUAAUACGGAGGGUGCGAGCGUUAAUCGGAAUUACUGGGCGUAAAGCGCGCGUAGGUGGCUUGAUAAGCCGGUUGUGAAAGCCCCGGGCUCAAACUGGGAACGGCAUCCGGAACUGUCAAGCUAGAGUGCAGGAGAGGAAGGUAGAAUUCCCGGUGUAGCGGUGAAAUGCGUAGAGAUCGGGAGGAAUACCAGUGGCGAAGGCGGCCUUCUGGACUGACACUGACACUGAGGUGCGAAAGCGUGGGUAGCAAACAGGAUUAGAUACCCGGGUAGUC
rnacentral:rRNA from 1 species